rnacentral:rRNA from 1 species
GACGAACGCUGGCGGCGUGCCUAAUACAUGCAAGUAGAACGCUGAAGAGAGGAGCUUGCUCUUCUUGGAUGAGUUGCGAACGGGUGAGUAACGCGUAGGUAACCUGCCUUGUAGCGGGGGAUAACUAUUGGAAACGAUAGCUAAUACCGCAUAACAAUGGAUGACACAUGUCAUUUAUUUGAAAGGGGCAAUUGCUCCACUACAAGAUGGACCUGCGUUGUAUUAGCUAGUAGGUGAGGUAAUGGCUCACCUAGGCGACGAUACAUAGCCGACCUGAGAGGGUGAUCGGCCACACUGGGACUGAGACACGGCCCAGACUCCUACGGGAGGCAGCAGUAGGGAAUCUUCGGCAAUGGGGGCAAGCCUGACCGAGCAACGCCGCGUGAGUGAAGAAGGUUUUCGGAUCGUAAAGCUCUGUUGUAAGUCAAGAACGGGUGUGAGAGUGGAAAGUUCACACUGUGACGGUAGCUUACCAGAAAGAGACGGCUAACUACGUG